GGACUACAAGGGUAUCUAAUCCUUUUUGCUCCCCAUACUUUAGUAUCUCAGUGUCAGUGUUUAAUUAGAUAGAUGCCUUCGCCUUUAGUGUGUCUACCAAGUAUAAAAAGAUUUCAUCCUUACUCCUAGUAUUCCUCUAUCUUCAAUUACACUCUAGUAUCUCAAUUACAUUUUAUAAUUUUUCUAUUGAAAUCUCAUAACUACUGUUUGAUGAUACAACCUACAUACGCUUUAGACCCAUUUAUGUUGAAGAACGUUAACCCCUCUCGUAUUACCGCGGCGGCUGGCAC
rnacentral:rRNA from 1 species